rnacentral:rRNA from 1 species
AUGUCUGGGAAACUGCCUGAUGGAGGGGGAGUAACUACUGGAAACGGUAGCUAAUACCGCAUAACGUCGCAAGACCAAAGAGGGGGACCUUCGGGCCUCUUGCCAUCGGAUGUGCCCAGAUGGGAUUAGCUAGUAGGUGGGGUAAAGGCUCACCUAGGCGACGAUCCCUAGCUGGUCUGAGAGGAUGACCAGCCACACUGGAACUGAGACACGGUCCAGACUCCUACGGGAGGCAGCAUG